rnacentral:rRNA from 1 species
GAUGAACGCUGGCGGCGUGCCUAAUACAUGCAAGUCGAGCGAACAGACGAGGAGCUUGCUCCUCUGACGUUAGCGGCGGACGGGUGAGUAACACGUGGAUAACCUACCUAUAAGACUGGGAUAACUUCGGGAAACCGGAGCUAAUACCGGAUAACAUGUUGAACCGCAUGGUUCAACAGUGAAAGACGGUCUUGCUGUCACUUAUAGAUGGAUCCGCGCCGCAUUAGCUAGUUGGUAAGGUAACGGCUUACCAAGGCAACGAUGCGUAGCCGACCUGAGAGGGUGAUCGGCCACAUGGGAACGAAGAAACGGUCCAGACUCCUACGGGAGGCAGCAGUAGGGAAUCUUCCGCAAUGGGCGAAAGCCUGACGGAGCAACGCCGCGUGAGUGAAGAAGGUCUUCGGAUCGUAAAACUCUGUUAUUAGGGAAGAACAAAUGUGUAAGUAACUAUGCACGUCUUGACGGUACCUAAUCAGAAAGCCACGGCUAACUACGUG